rnacentral:rRNA from 1 species
GAGUUUGAUCCUGGCUCAGGAUGAACGCUGGCGGCGUGCUUAACACAUGCAAGUCGAACGGAGUACCCCUGAAGGAGUUUUCGGACAACUGAUGGGACUACUUAGUGGCGGACGGGUGAGUAACGCGUGAGUAACCUGCCUUGGAGUGGGGAAUAACAGCUGGAAACAGCUGCUAAUACCGCAUAAUAUGUCUGUGUCGCAUGGCACUGGACAUCAAAGAUUUAUCGCUCUGAGAUGGACUCGCGUCUGAUUAGCUAGUUGGCGGGGUAACGGCCCACCAAGGCGACGAUCAGUAGCCGGACUGAGAGGUUGGCCGGCCACAUUGGGACUGAGACACGGCCCAGACUCCUACGGGAGGCAGCAGUGGGGAAUAUUGGGCAAUGGGCGCAAGCCUGACCCAGCAACGCCGCGUGAAGGAAGAAGGCUUUCGGGUUGUAAACUUCUUUUCUCAGGGACGAAGCAAGUGACGGUACCUGAGGAAUAAGCCACGGCUAACUACGUGCCAGCAGCCGCGGUAAUACGUAGGUGGCAAGCGUUAUCCGGAUUUACUGGGUGUAAAGGGCGUGUAGGCGGGACUGCAAGUCAGAUGUGAAAACCACGGGCUCAACCUGUGGCCUGCAUUUGAAACUGUAGUUCUUGAGUACUGGAGAGGCAGACGGAAUUCCUAGUGUAGCGGUGAAAUGCGUAGAUAUUAGGAGGAACACCAGUGGCGAAGGCGGUCUGCUGGACAGCAACUGACGCUGAGGCGCGAAAGCGUGGGGAGCAAACAGGAUUAGAUACCCUGGUAGUCCACGCUGUAAACGAUGGAUACUAGGUGUGGGGGGACUGACCCCCUCCGUGCCGCAGUUAACACAAUAAGUAUCCCACCUGGGGAGUACGAUCGCAAGGUUGAAACUCAAAGGAAUUGACGG